AUUGAACGCUGGCGGCAUGCCUUACACAUGCAAGUCGAACGGCAGCACGGGUGCUUGCACCUGGUGGCGAGUGGCGAACGGGUGAGUAAUACAUCGGAACAUGUCCUGUAGUGGGGGAUAGCCCGGCGAAAGCCGGAUUAAUACCGCAUACGAUCUACGGAUGACAGCGGGGGACCUUCGGGCCUCGCGCUAUAGGGUUGGCCGAUGGCUGAUUAGCUAGUUGGUGGGGUAAAGGCCUACCAAGGCGACGAUCAGUAGCUGGUCUGAGAGGACGACCAGCCACACUGGGACUGAGUCACGGCCCAGACUCCUACGGGAGGCAGCAGUGGGGAAUUUUGGACAAUGGGCGAAAGCCUGAUCCAGCAAUGCCGCGUGUGUGAAGAAGGCCUUCGGGUUGUAAAGCACUUUUGUCCGGAAAGAAAUCCUUGGCCCUAAUACGGUCGGGGGAUGACGGUACCGGAAGAAUAAGCACCGGCUAACUACGUG
rnacentral:rRNA from 1 species